rnacentral:rRNA from 1 species
GUGAGGAAUAUUGGUCAAUGGGCGGGAGCCUGAACCAGCCAAGUCGCGUGAAGGAAGAAGGAUCUAUGGUUCGUAAACUUCUUUUGCAGGGGAAUAAAGUGCAGGACGUGUCCUGUUUUGUAUGUACCCUGAGAAUAAGGAUCGGCUAACUCCGUGCCAGCAGCCGCGGUAAUACGGAGGAUCCGAGCGUUAUCCGGAUUUAUUGGGUUUAAAGGGUGCGUAGGUGGUUUGAUAAGUCAGCGGUGAAAGUUUGCAGCUUAACUGUAAAAAUGCCGUUGAAACUGUCGGGCUUGAGUGUAAAUGAGGUAGGCGGAAUGCGUGGUGUAGCGGUGAAAUGCAUAGAUAUCACGCAGAACUCCGAUUGCGAAGGCAGCUUACUAAGCUACAACUGACACUGAAGCACGAAAGCGUGGGGAUCAAACAGGAUUAGAAACCCCUGUAGUCC